CUCGUGUUCUUCGUGUUCAUUGCGUGAUCCGCUCCUUUCGUGAAAGAUCGGCCAUCACGAAAGGAGUGGAUCACGUGAUGAACACGAAGAACACGAGG
rnacentral:pre_miRNA from 1 species